rnacentral:tRNA from 1 species
GGAGGCGUGGUGUAGCGGUCUAACAUAAUGGCCUGUCAAGCCGUAGAUCGCGGGUUCGAAUCCCGUCGCUUCCGCCA